CACGCCUGGGAAAAAAUGAAGGAAGUCGGUAAACAAGCACAGAGUUACUACAGGCAGAUGUUAUAUCGGGAAAAAUGAUGUCCCGUGGCAUGUGGCUUGCAGAUUUUGCUGGAUAUAAAGUUGAAGCGGUGGGUCAGGAACUCAGGAGGCAACUUUGUCUCGGUGAAUUGACUCGUUGAAUGGGGUGUAAUCUAGUGGGGCGUCUUUUUUGCUUGGUAGGGCAGCAUAACUGCAUAAAGCACGGGAAAGUUCGGUGUUUCAAGCCUUGGGGCCGAGGUCCGUGUAGUACUAGUAGAUUGCUGGCCAUCCAGGUCAAUUACCCUACUAGUUUGGUCGUUUGGAUCCAGCAUCGUAAUGUUAGCCGGUGCCAUCAAUGAGCCAGCAAGUAACAAUUCACGGUAGCCUUUCUUCUUCGUAGCAGUCAGUUUUUUUCCACUACGAUCCUUGUCUGACGAUCACGACCGCCCCCGUUGAUUGAUUGGCCCACCGCCUCUCUACCACUAAUGUUUCGGCUGCCGCCGUUGCCAGAUAAGUCCGGAUAAGCAUUUCUGCCGCUGGCUCAAAAAAAAAAAUGCAUUUCUGCCGCUUGCCGUUGCCGUUGCCAGAUAAAAUCCCCACUGGCCUCAGUAAUACAGUACCCCAUAACCAUAACACCUUGCCACAUUCCCGCCUCGCUUCGGUGAUCACCCCAUCCCUUUCCUGACCCUGUCCUCACCCUCCACCUCGCGGCACCAAGU
rnacentral:lncRNA from 1 species